rnacentral:rRNA from 1 species
AUGUCGUCGUGCUGGUCGUCGGUGCUGGCCGUCCUCGGCGGCGCGGUGUCAGAAGAGGAGGCGCAGAUGCGGGGCAGGUUGCUGGCCGUCAAGGAGGCCGUGGCGUCGGAGGCGGAGGCGGUUGAGAACCUAGAGGAGGAGGUGAAGGCCCUGGAGCGUGCCCUGGCCGCGGCGGAGACGGAGAGGGAGGCGGCCGAGGCGAGGAGGCGGGCAGCCGAGGAGCGCACGGGGAAGGCCGUGGCCGAGCUGCGGGCUGCGGAGGAGGAGCACGAGGGCCGAGUGGAGGAGCUGCUGCUGACGGCGGAGCAGUCGGACGCCGCGGACGCGCAUCCGCGAGCGGGAGGAGAUGAUCAAGAUUAUCGCCGGCAUCAUCGAGACACCGAGCGAUGA